UAAAACUCGAAAGAAGAAGAAAGCAAAAACACGUGUGAUUUUUGUGGCACGUGUGAAAAGAUGUUUAGUGAUCGGUGUAGAAUCAGACUGAAAUACUUCAGUGGAACACGUGGGAUUAGGUGAACAGAUGAAGAAGAGGAAUGAAGAUGGAUUCAUAGUUCAUCUCGAUGACCAGAGACUUCCUCAUGUUUCAUAAGAAAUCUGAGAUUAAAGAUCUCUAAAGUCUGCAUUAGAUCAGGAGAUCAAGAUCCAUUAAUGAGGUGCUGGAUUUGUGAGAAGACACAAGACUGAAGCUGUAAAUUCAUUUUACUGUAUACUAUGCUGUAGGUAGUGUGUAGUCUACUGUGUGUAGUUUGAUGGACAUUUCUGGUCUAUAUAUAUUGUACUGCUCUUAUGUAAAUGUUUUAUAACACUACUCUGUAUUAAAGCUGCAGGAAAUAAUAAACCAUAGUUGAGAGUAAUGAUGAUACUGGGAUGAUCUGCUUAAUGGGGAAAAAGUGUCUGUUUUUAUGCUGAAAGUUAUAAAGACAAACACUAAUGAUUAGCUAAACUUUUAUUCCAGAAUAAUGUGAAAAAUCACGUGUCUCUAGGACCCUUUGUUUUGUUUGGUUUUUCAAAUCUUAGAAUAGUGACAUAACGGAAGAAAAAAAAUACAAAUAAAAAAAUACAUUAUAACGCAAUACACACAAUACCAGAAAAGAGGAAUUAACCAAAAAAAAAAAAAAACUCCACAGUUUUGACAGCUUUUCGGCUUGUAAGUCCUUUAAAAAUUUCAAAAUAAGUUUUCAUUUACAGCUUAAAAUGAAAAAUGUUUGGUUUCUUUUCAGACCACUUUACAUUUAUAGAUAUGAAAAAAGCAGAUUUAAAAUAAAAAUAUAACAUUUUACUUUUUAUUUUUUAUAAAUAAAAUAUCUUUUUUCUGGAUAUUAAUUUUUGACCCACAUAAAGAUUCAAAAACAUGUUUAACGUCAAUCCAAAAACACCAAGUCUACAUACAGUAAAAAAAAAAGUGCAGAUUCUGUAUUUAUAUUACAGAAUGUACAAGAAUCUAAAAUAUAUAUUUUUUUAUUUUUGUAUGAAUUGGUUUGUUGGAUAAAUUAGGUGUAUAAUUUUAAAAAAUACUUCACUAAUUUUAUUGUUAAUGCAAUAUUUAUUAUUCUAAGUCCAAACCAUUUUCCUUUUAAUAUUCUUUAAGUUUCUUGCCUCGUUUUUUAUAUGAGACAAGAAAUUUGAGCCUUGAUUGUUAUGUUUGAGAUAUAUAUGUAUAUGUUUUUAUAAAUCCACAUAACUGGAAAUGUUACAAGGGUAAAAUGUCAUGAACAGUGUUAUAACGAGUAAUACAACAUUGUCACAUCAUGUGUCUCUAGGACCCUUUGUUUUGUAUCUGUUGUUUGCGCCUGAUUAAAAAACCCAAUCGUUAUGAAUAGUAAAUAAUUCUGAUCAAUUAAUUAAUAAUAUUAAAAACAAAAUAUUAAUAAGGAUUAUUGUUAAUUUUUGUGUGUGUGAAACUAAAUAAUUCAAAAGUGUAAACUUUAAAUGUCUUGGUCACUCAUCAGCUACAUUUGGUUGAAAUGACAAUAAAAGCUUUUUGAAUUGA